rnacentral:rRNA from 1 species
AGUGAACGCUGGCGGUAGGCCUAACACAUGCAAGUCGAACGGCAGCACAGUAAGAGCUUGCUCCUACGGGUGGCGAGUGGCGGACGGGUGAGGAAUACAUCGGAAUCUACUUUUUCGUGGGGGAUAACGUAGGGAAACUUACGCUAAUACCGCAUACGACCUACGGGUGAAAGCAGGGGAUCUUCGGACCUUGCGCGACUGAAUGAGCCGAUGUCGGAUUAGCUAGUUGGCGGGGUAACGGCCCACCAAGGCGACGAUCCGUAGCGGGUCUGAGAGGAUGAUCAGCCACACUGGAACUGAGACACGGUCCAGACUCCUACGGGAGGCAGCAGUGGGGAAUAUUGGACAAUGGGCGCAAGCCUGAUCCAGCCAUACCGCGUGGGUGAAGAAGGCCUUCGGGUUGUAAAGCCCUUUUGUUGGGAAAGAACAGCAGCAGGUUAAUCCCCCGCUGUUCUGACGGUACCCAAAGAAUAAGCACCGGCUAACUUCGUG